UAAUUUAAUUCUCCCCUGAAUGACCCAGGGCUGUUCCGUCUGAUAGAUGGAAGGGUAACGUUGCCUUAAAACAGAAAUAUGCAGGCGUUGGCUAUUUUUGGCAAAUGAACGUGUCUUCAUUCCCAAAGUGGUUCUCCUUUAAUGGCAGGGUGUGGUCCUUCAUGGGGCCAGGGCACCCCUCGUGGACCCCCCCCCAUAUCAUCUGGGGCUUCAGUUCAUCUCAUCAAGGGGUGGGAGGGAGGAAGGAACGUGACUAGAUUCAGUUCCAGUGGCUUCUCGUUAGGUUCCCAUCUUGUCAUAAACAAGGGACGCCUUCUGAGAUGCACUGUCUUCCCAGCCCGGGUCUGUUGCAGGAUCUUUGAGUUUUUGCGGUUUAUGGCCAUAUUUCCUGGUUUCAAUUUGACUUGAGGAACCCAUAGGGUGCCCAGGAAUAAUACUGAAAAGUCAAAUCUUUAUUUUCGGGAUGGGAAGAUGAGAUCCCACAAUGAAAGUGCCUGAGUGAAGGGAGAGUUCCCUACAGCAGCGUCUAAGAGGAGCUCUGGACUUCAGCCAUCAAGGGGCUGGAGUUUAGCUCAUGUCCCAAAUGAGAAAGUCCCUCUUUGUAUCAGCCAUAUCACGGGGCCACUGUCUGUUCCCCAGAUGCCUACUGAAUCCUACAGCCAUACAGAAAAUAGCCCUUUCCAAAGAGGGCCUUCGGUUCUCUCUUGAUGGGUGCUACGUAGGGAUGGACAGUGAUGCCCUCUAUGGGAGUGUGGUCCUGGAGGUGCCCUACCUGUGUCCUGCCACGGCCCCCCACUCACAGGACCUGAGAUACAAAGGCUCCCCACCUCCAGCCCACACCAUCGCAACCUUGUUCCAAGGCCAGCAUUGGGGCAAGGGAAGGAUUCACCAGAGUGCAGCCUGUGCAAAAUCUUGCAUCCUGGCGACCCCAGUGAGGAUGUUAGAUGUGGGGGUGGAUGAGGGAAGGUGAUAUUCUGUGGUCCCAAGAGAAAUGUGGCAGAACAGAGAGGCUACUUUUCAAGACUAAUGCCUCCCCGCCCCGUCUGCUCCGUCCAGAAGACUGGCCCUUUUCUUGCCAGAAGCAGGUGCUAUGAUGGACUGCACAGGGUCGGCAUUUCCUAGAGGCUUCGUCUGGGAUCUCCACCAAGCAGGGGCACCGUCCUGUGAGGCUAAACUGAGCAGCAGCUGGCCUCACGUCUCAGCUCCUGACUGUGGCUUUGUUUACAAGGCUACCUAUUUUGACUUCUGACAGGUGUUACCGAUUGUCCCCAACCUCCACCCCUCUCCCCUUCACAGAAGGUCAUUUGGUCAGAGACAGUGCUGGAAGGUUCAUGUGUAGCCAUGUUGUGAUCAGUAAGAAAUGCUUUGUAGGUCACCCACUUUUUUUUUUUUCCUGCCCAGAGUUUCCGUCUGUCUGUCCUGGUGCCUGCAUCUUUCAAAGCUAAAAUCCAGAUGUUUGACUCACUGUUUUGAAAUCAGGAUGGCACUAGGAAAAGCCAGGUCCUAUGACUAAUUCUCCUGAUUCCGAGUCUUCGAAGGUUUGUCCUGGACACUGUGCAGAGAAUUUUGAACCCGACCAUGGAUGCACAGUCCAGUGCACUGCUGAUACAAGCCGGAGCACUGCUGAGGGAGAGGCCCCAGACCACCAGGGAAGGGAAGCUUGCUUGGUUUCCUUGACCCCUACAGGGUUAGUGGACUUGCUCUGGAACUCUUUAGCCCAGUCCAAUCAUAAUGUCGUUCCCCUCCCCCCCCACCUCCCCCAUCUCACACAGCUUUAAAACUUCACUACUUUUAUUUAGAAACAAACAGGAUGGCAGAGAAGACACCUCCCCCCACAUUACUGGGGGUGGGCAGGAAACGUAGGUCAGGCGUGAGGGUGGGGUUUUCUUCCCACCGUUUCCCUAGAGUACUUACUGCAGAUCAGCUGCCUGUGCUCAUUCCGAAUGCUUGUGGGCCGGGUUGCCGGUCUCAGGGCCGAGAGCCUAGACUUAGGAGAAUUCCUCCCCCAGGAGUAGCUACAUCUUUUGUGACUCAGACACUGCCUGGUCAUCCGCUCCAGUGGCAUACCUGACUCACAAUGUCUACCCUAGUACAUGGGUGAAAGGAUCUUUCUCUUGCCCCAUUGCACACUGGAGAGGCCCCGGGUGUCCAGUGUGGGGACCCCAUGGACAGUACCACAAGGCUCCCUGCUGAGCCACUAUGCAUUGUGGGGUCAGAGCUCCUGUCCUUCCUUGGUGACUGGAAAUCCCUGCUGUGGUUUUGUUGGACAGCCCCAGGUGACUGCUUCCCACCCGAAGCCAGAAGCCAUCAGUGGAACUUCUGUGGGAUCCUUUGCCAAAAUCCCAAGGCAAAAUCCAAGGGUCCAAGGCCAUUUCCAUCCAGUUCCCAGUUUCCUUUUCCAUAGGAACUUUUUUUUUUUUUUUAAACCUAGCUCCCAACAUGCUUCCAAAGGCCAUGUUCCGUCUUUCCUGGAUCACUACAGUGAAGUAUUACAGUUGUACAGUUCCCAAUCUGGCCUUGGCUUGCUCGGAUAAAACUUUGUUAUGUAUUUUGUAAGGCAUAGAUUCUAUAUUGUAAUGUCCUAUGCAAAAGAAAAAAAUUAAUGAAAUUGUAAAUUUUAUUGUUUUAACAUGUAUGCAUGUUUAGUGACGUUUACAUUUUGAAAUAAAAUUUAUGAUUCAUUAUUUU
rnacentral:lncRNA from 1 species